CAUUCUUCAGAGCAAGUGGCAGCACAUCCCCAGCUCUGAAGCUCCUGUGGUGCCUAUAACUCUCCCAGGGAUUUGUGCAGCCUCAUCACCUGCACUCCUGAGCAGGCUUAGGGAUCUGCACGACAGGAUUUGGCACGAGCAGGAUGAAGCCUUCUGGCAGGUUAUUUCUUGUGAGGGGACCUUGUUUCCUGACACUAGCCACACGUCACUCACGCCCAUACCACUCCUCUCCCUGUUCCUCCUGUGAUGUCUGUAAGUAGCAGUUAGUUAAAUGGCAAAUAAAUCUGAUUCCUCUUGGAUGAAAAAUCGAUUCAGGUGUCCCUGCGGGCUGGGAAGAGCCCUUUGGUCAUGAGGACGGGGGCAGAGGGACCCCGUGUGUGUGGCAAGAGAACAACCACAAAUACAUUCUUGGACAAAAGCCCUAGGGCCUGAGAACAGCUUGGUUGGCAGCAUCAACAGCCCAGCAUUGGGUAGCAUUGUACAGGUAAAUUACCUCCUUGCAGCACAGGCAGUUUGAAAGAGGUGAGUCUUUUAGGAACAGUUGUGUCUUUACUCUCUGUUGUUUAACUCAUUUCACCUGGCCUAGGUCCUGUUUCACUAGAGGCUUAGAGAAAUGAGACUAAAUGAGUGGUGAAAGAGCUCUUUUUUAUCUCCUGUCGCUGUUUAGUAGUGAAGUAGAAAAUGCAGAGUUAGGAGUGAGACAAUGUGAGAAAAGACAGGUAGGUAUUUUGCAGCAGAAAUAAACAUGGAUUUCCUCCUAGCAUUUUCCCAGGCUUUGGAACUAUUCCCAGGUUGGGGUAAGUCUUAUUGUUCCUCAUAAAAUGCAGAAGAAGAGAACAUUUUGCAAAGUCUGACAUCAAGUAUAUUAAACACUAAAGGAAGAACCAAGUUUGCACAGUUAAAAACUCAGCAGGAUUUUUUUCUGGUUUGUCCUACAACAGUGUUUAACUGCUGCUCUUGGGCUCUGCUUUGUGUGCAAGCCAGACCUGGGGAAAGGGACUUUUGGCUGCACAGUGGACAGUUCGCAGGUUCAGAACUGGGGUUUCCUUGCUUGUGUUGAAUUUAAUGUCUGUCUGGCUUGUGUGGCAGAGCACAGCAAUUCUGCAUCCCUGCCUCUGUUCUGCAGCCUCCAAGAGCUGUUCUACACAAUGGAGAAGGGAGGAAGGGGGAAAAAAAAGGGCCAUCUGUAGCUGCAGAUGGGGAUUUGUGGACGGGGUACAAGUUGCAGUCACUGAGUAAGCAGAGAUGCCCAAAAUAUGUCACCUAAAUUGACCAAUCAGGCUGGGAAAGGGAGCAUUAGCCUGUUUGGAUGCGUGGUCGGAGAGACCCACCCCAGCAACUGUGCAGCACACGCAGGCAGCCAGGCACUCCAUCAGCUUCCCGCUGCGCUCCGCAGCCGGAGAGACGAGCUGCUUUUACCUGGCAGCUUGGCUCAGGCCUCCUCCCACGAGCAGGUGUCAUUGGGCUUGU